rnacentral:rRNA from 1 species
CAGCAGCCGCGGUAAUACGUAGGUGGCAAGCGUUAUCCGGAAUUAUUGGGCGUAAAGCGCGCGUAGGCGGUUUUUUAAGUCUGAUGUGAAAGCCCACGGCUCAACCGUGGAGGGUCAUUGGAAACUGGAAAACUUGAGUGCAGAAGAGGAAAGUGGAAUUCCAUGUGUAGCGGUGAAAUGCGCAGAGAUAUGGAGGAACACCAGUGGCGAAGGCGACUUUCUGGUCUGUAACUGACGCUGAUGUGCGAAAGCGUGGGGAUCAAACAGGAUUAGAUACCCGGGUAGUCCCUGUCUCUUAUAC